UACGUAGGUGGCGAGCGUUGUCCGGAAUGACUGGGCGUAAAGGGAGCGUAGGUGGCGAUUUAAGUUAGAUGUGAAAGCCCGUGGCUCAACCACGGAACUGCAUUUAAAACUGGAUUGCUAGAGUACAGGAGGGGUAAGCGGAAUUUCUAGUGUAGCGGUGAAAUGCGUAGAUAUCAGGAGGAACACCGGUGGCGAAGGCAGCAUACCGGCGCUCAACUGACGCUGAGGCACGAAAGUGCGGGUAUCGAACAGG
rnacentral:rRNA from 1 species